rnacentral:rRNA from 1 species
UGGCGAGUGGCGAACGGGUGAGUAACAUAUCGGAACGUACCGGGUAGCGGGGGAUAACUGAUCGAAAGAUCAGCUAAUACCGCAUACGUCUUGAGAGGGAAAGCAGGGGACCUUCGGGCCUUGCGCUAUCCGAGCGGCCGAUAUCUGAUUAGCUGGUUGGCGGGGUAAAGGCCCACCAAGGCGACGAUCAGUAGCGGGUCUGAGAGGAUGAUCCGCCACACUGGGACUGAGACACGGCCCAGACUCCUACGGGAGGCAGCAGUGGGGAAUUUUGGACAAUGGGCGCAAGCCUGAUCCAGCCAUGCCGCGUGUCUGAAGAAGGUCUUCGGGUUGUAAAGGACUUUUGUCAGGGAAGAAAAGGCCGUUGCCAAUAUCGGCGGCCGAUGACGGUACCUGAAGAAUAAGCACCGGCUAACUACGUGCCAGCAGCCGCGGUAAUACGUAGGGUGCGAGCGUUAAUCGGAAUUACUGGGCGUAAAGCGGGCGCAGACGGUUACUUAAGCAGGAUGUGAAAUCCCCGGGCUCAACCCGGGAACUGCGUUCUGAACUGGGUGACUCGAGUGUGUCAGAGGGAGGUGGAAUUCCACGUGUAGCAGUGAAAUGCGUAGAGAUGUGGAGGAAUACCGAUGGCGAAGGCAGCCUCCUGGGAUAACACUGACGUUCAUGUCCGAAAGCGUGGGUAGCAAACAGGAUUAGAUACCCUGGUAGUCCACGCCCUAAACGAUGUCAAUUAGCUGUUGGGCAACUUGAUUGCUUGGUAGCGUAGCUAACGCGUGAAAUUGACCGCCUGGGGAGUACGGUCGCAAGAUUAAAACUCAAAGGAAUUGACGGGGACCCGCACAAGCGGUGGAUGAUGUGGAUUAAUUCGAUGCAACGCGAAGAACCUUACCUGGUUUUGACAUGUGCGGAAUCCUCCGGAGACGGAGGAGUGCCUUCGGGAGCCGUAACACAGGUGCUGCAUGGCUGUCGUCAGCUCGUGUCGUGAGAUGUUGGGUUAAGUCCCGCAACGAGCGCAACCCUUGUCAUUAGUUGCCAUCAUUCGGUUGGGCACUCUAAUGAGACUGCCGGUGACAAGCCGGAGGAAGGUGGGGAUGACGUCAAGUCCUCAUGGCCCUUAUGACCAGGGCUUCACACGUCAUACAAUGGUCGGUACAGAGGGUAGCCAAGCCGCGAGGCGGAGCCAAUCUCACAAAACCGAUCGUAGUCCGGAUUGCACUCUGCAACUCGAGUGCAUGAAGUCGGAAUCGCUAGUAAUCGCAGGUCAGCAUACUGCGGUGAAUACGUUCCCGGGUCUUGUACACACCGCCCGUCACACCAUGGGAGUGGGGGAUACCAGAAGUAGGUAGGGUAACCGCAAGGAGUCC